rnacentral:rRNA from 1 species
CCUCCCGCAAGGGACGCUAGUACAGGUGGUGCAUGGCUGUCGUCAGCUCGUGUCGUGAGAUGUUGGGUUAAGUCCCGCAACGAGCGCAACCCUUACCCUUAGUGUUUUCCCGAAAGGAUUACCCUCUAAGGGGACUGCCCCGGACAACGGGGAGGAAGGUGGGGAUGACGUCAAGUCCGCAUGCUCCUUACGUCUAGGGCUACACACGUCCUACAAUGGGGUCGACAGUGGGAUGCAAAGCCGCGAGGUGGAGCCAAUCCCCAAACGGCCUCUCAGUUCGGAUAGUAGUCUGCAACUCGACUACUUGAAGUCGGAAUCGCUAGUAAUGGCGGAUCAGCAUGCCGCCGUGAAUACGUUCCCGGGUCUU